rnacentral:rRNA from 1 species
GACAGAGGGUGCAAACGUUGUUCGGAAUUACUGGGCGUAAAGCGCGUGUAGGCGGCUCGGAAAGUCGGAUGUGAAAGCCCAGGGCUCAACCCUGGAAGUGCACUCGAAACUCCCGAGCUGGAGUCCCGGAGAGGAAGGCGGAAUUCUCGGUGUAGAGGUGAAAUUCGUAGAUAUCGGGAGGAAUACCGGUGGCGAAGGCGGGUCUCUGGGCCGUAACUGACGCUGAGGAGCGAAAGCAUGGGGAGCGAACAGG